rnacentral:lncRNA from 1 species
GAUCUUUUGUAGCUUUGCGCUUUGUACCAUAAUAGUCCCGAGACAGUUCGUGCAAUUUCCAGCCGGUCUGAAAGUGAAGGUGUCGCAGACGGACGCAUAUUGUGGCUGAGAACGACAGCUCGGGAGAAGGGCACACAACGGGCAGAUACCCAGACAUCAGUGGACAGGAUAUACACAGGAACAUCGGUAGAGAUCGACAUACGUGGGUGUACAGAGGAGGAUAAACAGACCUCGAUAUAGAAGGUUAUAGGGAGGAAGAGAGAGAUGUGAUGUCGAGAGAAAUAAAGCAAGAUGUGUAACGUUCAGACAGAAAUACGUAGUACGUGCAGACAUGCAUCUCUCCGUCGAUGUGGCCAUAUAGAGAGAGCUAUGGAUGCCAUCACGGAUGUACUCGUGCUCAAGUUAUGCGGGAAGAGAAAGAGUGAUUACCGCACUUCUUUUCUCGUUCAGGAUCCCGCGCGUUCUCGAAUCGAGAAAUUACCAAUAGGAAACAUCUCGCCUCUUUCGUCCGCAAGCUGGAGACUCUGAGCGUCAGCAUUCCGUCAGAGUCUAUCCUUUCAAGAAAACAGGGGUCGAAAAACAGCGAAGUUCAGAUGCAUGUUACUACGCCGUACAAACUCCAGACCACGCAGGCCUUCAAAAGUGACAGUCGAUCGUCUCUCCUUCGCGUCACGUGUUCUCUCGAAACUGUGCAUCCAUAUGCAUCUAGAUACGGAUAUGCACCAAUAAACAUCUGAAUAUAUAAAAUAUAUAGAUGUAUAUAUACAUAUAUAUACAUAUAUAUAUGUACGUAUGAUUGUGGUUAUGUAUACAUAUACGUGCUGAAGGACCUGUUGUUCGCUUCCCGAGAAGAACGAAUGCAUGCAAUUCACACGGUAUCUUUGUACCAGUGUAUGCUUAUAUUAGACGCCAAGAAAAAUUAACAAGUUUCCACGACCCACACACACACACACACAAGAG